GAUGAAGAACGUAGCGAAAUGCGAUACGUAAUGUGAAUUGCAGAAUUCAGUGAAUCAUCGAAUCUUUGAACGCACAUUGCGCCUGCCAGCACUCUGGCAGGCAUGCCUGUUCGAGCGUCAUUUCAACCAUCAAGCCCUAGGCUUGCGUUGGAGCCCUGCGGCUGCCGCAGGCCCCUAAAAGCAGUGGCGGGCUCGCUAUCACACCGAGUGCAGUAGAUUACUCUUCGCUCAGGGCGUGUGGCGGGUUCCAGCCGUGAAACCCCCUACUUCUCAAGGUUGACCUCGGAUCAGGUAGGAAUACCCGCUGAACUUAAGCAUACAAUAGCGGAGGA
rnacentral:misc_RNA from 1 species